rnacentral:rRNA from 1 species
AGGGGCAGCGGGGUGUAGCAAUACACCGCCGGCGACCGGCGCACGGGUGAGUAACGCGUAUGCAACUUGCCUAUCAGAGGGGGAUAACCCGGCGAAAGUCGGACUAAUACCGCAUGAAGCAGGGGGCCCCGCAUGGGGGAUAUUUGCUAAAGAUUCAUCGCUGAUAGAUAGGCAUGCGUUCCAUUAGGCAGUUGGCGGGGUAACGGCCCACCAAACCGACGAUGGAUAGGGGUUCUGAGAGGAAGGUCCCCCACAUUGGAACUGAGACACGGUCCAAACUCC